GCGUGGCGGACGGCUGAGUAACACGUGGCUAACCUACCCUCGGGACGGGGAUAACACCGGGAAACUGGUGCUAAUCCCCGAUAGGGGAGGAUGCCUGGAAGGGUUCCUCCCCGAAAGGGUACGGCGGGGGUUAUCGCCGCCGUGCCGCCCGAGGAUGGGGCUGCGGCCCAUCAGGUAGUUGGCGGGGUAACGGCCCGCCAAGCCGAUAACGGGUAGGGGCCGUGAGAGCAGGAGCCCCCAGAUGGGCACUGAGACAAGGGCCCAGGCCCUACGGGGUGCACCAGGCGCGAAACCUCCGCAAUGCGGGCAACCGUGACGGGGUCACCCCGAGUGCCCCCUAUAUGGGGGCUUUUCCCCGCUGUAGGAAGGCGGGGGAAUAAGCGGGGGGCAAGUCUGGUGUCAGCCGCCGCGGUAAUACCAGCCCCGCGAGUGGUCGGGACGAUUAUUGGGCCUAAAGCGCCCGUAGCCGGCCUGGCAAGUCCCCUCCUAAAUCCCCGGGCUCAACCCGGGGACUGGGGGGGAUACUGCCAGGCUAGGGGGCGGGAGAGGCCGAGGGUACUCCCGGGGUAGGGGCGAAAUCCUAUAAUCCCGGGAGGACCA
rnacentral:rRNA from 1 species